GGACUUUUGCCUGCAUAGGGGUCUGUGCAUCAGUGAGCCUGGCAACUGUGGAGGCCAGACAGGGCUCCAGAGCUCCUGGAACUGGAGUUACAGACAGUUGUGAGCUGCCAUGUGGGUGCUGGGAAUCAACUCCUCUGGAAGAGCAUCCAGUGCUCUUAGCCAGUGAGCUUCUCUCCAGCCCCUGGUUUUUCUUUAGGAUAAAUUUUCACUGGUGGAUGCUCAGGUGACAGGUCUCUGUCUGCCCUGUUUUCCAGUGUGUGAAUGGAGAGGGGCUUCCCUCACCCUAGCGCACAGACACACAGCCUCCAGUGUGUCCUCACCACCCAAAAGGCUUCCUCAGUUUUCAUCAGGGCUGGGAUGCUAAGAACCCAAGUAGUUACACAGGCUCAAACCCACGACCACUCAAGCAUAUCCUAGACCCACCGGGGACCCUAUGAACGAGAAAUAGGGUGACUCACACCAAGUCACACAGAAGGAGCCCAGCUGCUUUAAGACAGAAGACUUAAGUGUGCUGUUUCAAGCACAGAAUAUUGCUACUGUAAUUUUAUUCCCUCGUUAAGAUGUGAAUUCGGGUCAGUAUUUGUUACUGCAGACAUGGUUUUGAGAGAGAAUCAAGAGACUGUCUCCAGCAAUCACGCACGCACAGACACUUGGGAAAUAGUUCCUUGAAUUCCCUGCUCACUGCCCCAGAGGAAGCUGGCAGGAUCUGACCUGAAGUGGUUCUAUAAUGUCCUUGACAUUCCUCACUCCUGUCCUUCAGCUCUGCUGCAGGAUGACAUCACUCAAGCCAUACAAUGUGCGAAGAGAGUUGUGAGGGAUCCCCAAGGCAUUCGAGCAUGGUAUGUUGGGACUUUGGAGGGGAAUGGUUGGCUCUGUUGACAUAUGCUGUCUCAGUUAGGCUUUUACUACUGUGAACUGACACCAGGACCAAGGCAAGUCUUAUAAGGACACCAUUUAAUUGGGGCUGGCUUACAGGUUCAGAGGUUCAGUCCAGUAUCAUCAAGGUGGGAACAUGGCAGCAUCCAGGCAGGCAUGGUGCAGGAGGAGCUGAGAGUUCUACAUCUUCAUCUGAAGGCUUUAGGAGAAUCCUGGCUUCCAGGCAGCUAGGGUGAGGGUCUUAAACCCAUGCUCACAGUGACAAACCUACCUCAACUGGGCCACACCUCCAAAUAGUGCCACUCCAUGAGCCAAGCAUAUUCAAACCAUGACAUAAGCAGUGUGUGCCAUUCUGAGAACUGUGGGUACAGUUGGGAGCUUUUCCUGCAUCAUCACUUUUAGGGAAUUCCUCCAGGUUUUGAGAGCCCCCCCCCCAUGAGACUACUUCCUUCUCAGGCCUGCAGAUGAGUUGUAGAACCCGUGGGUUCUACAACAUCAGAGCACAAACAGCUAUGUAGACCCAGGCCCACAGUCAGUAGCCUGUUCUGGGUGCAGGCACAGCGUGCAUCACAGCAGCUCUUGGCCCUGAACCCAAUCUCCUUUAGUGUCAUGAUUGCAGUAUUCUGUCCCCAGGGUUUGAGUGUGUGCACCAGAGGAGACACAUGUUAACCAUUUAUCCCCAUGUUUCUUUCCUCUACAGGGUGGCAUGGCAAAGACACUGUAAAAACCGAGAUCUAUCCGGGUAUAUUCGGAACUGUGGAGUCUGACCGCAGUGCACUUCUACUCAGCUCACUCUGUCUCUUUCUCACUGUGGGAGUAGCUAUGGGAAAGGUCACACUUCCUUGCUUUCCCCUCAAACCAACAGGGCUUUCACUUCUCAGUCUCCCAACGCACUGCACACUGCUCCCAGCAUCCCGCACAGUCUCACCACACACAUCUCUGCACAUCAGGAAGUAAUGCACAGUAGGCUCCAUCGGGAUCCAUCUUCAUCAGCCCUGUGCCGGAUACAAACAGCACAUAUUUACAGGAGACGAGUUGAUCUUGGGGAAUGGCAGUUGUGUGAGUGCCAGGGCUUUGUAUAGGCUCAGCACCCAGUUAGAACAGCCUCUGUGGUGGACCUGGAGGGCUUUUGAGGGCCCAGGACUCAGUGGAUGAGAACUGAGACUGCCUGAACUCAGAAACUUAUGAAACGUGUGAGCUUUCAAAACAGUAUCUUCUUAGAGCUGGCCUGUUUAUCCUGCCUUCAAAAUAAAUUCUCAGCCCGUAUGCCCGUCUGUUUUAACCCUUGAGAGGAUGUUCCCAGUCUUGUGAGGUGCUCAGGGGGACCAGUGAGCUGUGCUUGUCCAUAUCUUUCUUAAGUAGCUUCAUGCACACUAACCAACUCUGAGACAGAUGAGCUUGUAACACCAGACAAUAAUCACUAGAACAGAUCUAAUCUGAUAGAGAAAAAGUAUAAUUCUCAUUAAAUGAUUUUCAACGCA
rnacentral:lncRNA from 1 species